GAUUUCUGGCCUGAAACGUUUUGCCGGCCACGGUUUCGUGUGUUAGUGCUUUGCGUUCUGGCCAUCCUUCCAAUCGCUAUUCAGCUUUCUUCAUUGAUUGUUGAGUGGUAUUGGAUCUUUUACUUUGAAAAAAUUAGAGUGUUUCAAGCAGGCUUUAUGCUAUGAAUACAUUAGCAUGGAAUAAUAAUUUAGGACUUCGGUUCUAUUUUGUUGGUUUCUAGGACUGAAGUAAUGAUUGAUAGGGAUAGUUGGGGGUGCUAGUAUUCAGCGGCCAGAGGUGAAAUUCUCGGAUUCGCUGAAGACUAACUUAUGCGAAAGCAUU
rnacentral:rRNA from 2 species